GGGGGAGGGGGUGCCGGUCUGCGGGCCAGCAGCUGGCAGCCUGCUACUCCUGCCAGGGUCCAGCGCUCCGCUAGGGUAGAGUCCGUCAUUAGUGCUGAAUCCAGUUGUGCCCGGACCAGAAGAGACACCAGAGCCAGUCCCGUCCCCUCCCCGGGCUGGUCAUAGCAGGGCCAUUUCCUAUUCUUCCACCACCUUACCUGGGCAGGUCAGACCCGGUUCACCUGACCGCUCACAGAUGUGUUCUCACUCACUCUCGACCGACGCAUGCUGGAGCAGAGCACACCCAGGCAGCGCCCAACCGGGACUCACCCACCUGCCCGGGUCCUCGCCUGCACACAGGACAAACUGAGGCUUCAAAGCAGCCGUGAGAGCUUCAGAAAAUGACAAACCCACUACCGAUCCAGUGCGCAUCUAGGGGGCGCAAACUGGCGACCAACGAACCAGACAGGACACAAAAAUGUUUGCCCAACCCUGGACGGACACACAAAUAUCUGUGCUGCCCACAUCCAGCCAACACAGGCAGCAGGAUAUUUCCUCCUAGUCAGACUGGGUGUUCUAAACCAUGUAGAUAAAGGCCACUUGCCCAGGAAGGGGGAGCAAGAAGGUCCUGGUUUCACCAUGAACAUAAAUCACUGUUUUGGCAGUCUACCAUACUAUCCAUCAGACUAGCCUUUCAGAGGAAAAUGCCAGAGGCAGCAACUGAAAACAGCUUGUAGGAGUCAUCAGUUAGUCACUGAAGCACAUCAUUUGAGAGAAGAUAAAGACGAGCUCUUGACAUUCCUGGGACAAGAAGACCUGCCCUGUGAGACUCGCCUGUGAGCGGCUCAGCUUCUCCUACCCUGGGUAAGGUAAUUGAUGAGUUAAUUAAUAUGCACAGGAGAUGCAGCACUGUCAAAAGAAGAUGGACUGCUUCUAGUCCUCACUGUCAUUACUAAGAUGAUCUCAGCCUUUCAACUUGACUGGGAGAAACCAAUUUCCUGGGGGAAGUCUCAAUAAAAUUGUUUUCCUAUCAUCAGGUGGAAAUCUUGUUAAGUGCUCCAAGGACCCUUGGUUUUAUGGGUUUGUUUUUACAGCCCCCAGCAGCCUUGGCUAGGAUUUCAUUCUAAAAUAACAUUUGCUCUCUGUAAAAAAUGUCUUGUUGCUCCAGGCUCUGGGGCUGAGUGACCCUCAUGAGUUUUUGACUGCAGGAGGCCAAGGGGUGAACUGGAGGUUUGCAAUUUAUGUCAAAUAUGCACACAGGGACACACAGUUGGAUCUGUCCCUUCUGCUUCCUCUUUUUUCCUAUAUUACUGUCUUAGAAGAUGAGAUGAUGACUCCUGCUGUGACUAUCCUGACAGUGCCCCCAUUCAACAAUUCAGAAUUAGCAGUAGAUGUACAGUAAAUUUGUUUUUUUCCUUUUAAAUAGACUUUAUUUUUUUCUUAGAACAGUUUUAGGUUCACAGCAAACUUGAGCAGAAAGUAGAGUUUCCAUUACACUCCCUACUCCAACACAUGCACAGCCUUCCCCCAUUGUCAACAUCCUACACCAGAGUGAUACAUUUGUUACAUUGAUGAACCUACAUGGACACAUCAUUAUCACCCAAAGUCCACAGUUUGCAUUAGGGUUCACUCUCGAUGUUAUACAUUUUAUGGAUUUGGACAAAUGUAUAGUGGCAUAUAUCCACCAUCAUAGUACCCUACAGAGUAGUUUCUUGGCCUUAAAAAUCUGUACUCCACCUAUUCAUCCCCCCUCCCUUCCUAACUCCUGGCAACCACUGAUCUUUUUGCUGUCUUCCUAUUUUUGCUUUUUCUAGAAUGUCAUACAGUUGGAAUCUUACAAUAGGCUACAUAAAAAGGCUACAGCCUUUCCAGAUUGGCUUCUUUCACUUAGUAAAACACAUUUAAAGUUUCUCUGUGUCUUUUCAUAGCUUGAUAUCUCACCUCUUAGCACCUGAUUAUUUGGUACAAAAUAAUAUUCCCUUGUCUGGAUCUACCACAGUUUAUUUAUCCUUUCACCUACUGAAGGACAUCUUGGUUGCUUCCAAGUUUUGUCAAUUAUGAAUAAAGCUGCUAUAAAC